rnacentral:rRNA from 1 species
AUUGAACGCUGGCGGCAUGCCUUACACAUGCAAGUCGAACGGUAACGCGCCUUCCUUUGCCGACGAGUGGCAAACGGGUGAGUAAUACAUCGGAACGGGCCCGAUCGUUGUGGAUAACGAGGCGAAAGCUUUGCUAAUACCUCAUACGAUCUACGGUUUAAAGCCGCGGACCUCAAUGCCUUGCGCCGACGUAGCGGCCGAUGGCAGAUUAGGUAGUUGGUGGGAUAAUAGCUUACCAAGCCGACGAUCCGUAGCUGAUCUGAGAGUAUGAUCAGCCACACUGGAACUGAGACACGGCCCAGACUCCUACGGGAGGCAGCAGUAGGGAAUUUUGGGCAAUGGGCGCAAGCCUGAUCGAGCCAUGCCGCGUGAAGGAUGAAGGCCUUCGGGUUGUAAACUGCUUUUGUAAGGAACGAAAAGCCUUCUUAUAAUACAGGCGGGUCAUGGCGGUACCGUAAGAAUAAGCACCGGCUAACUACGUG